rnacentral:rRNA from 1 species
CCAGACGUUGACGGUAUUAAACCAGAAAGCCACGGCUAACUACGUGCCAGCAGCCGCGGUAAUACGUAGGUGGCAAGCGUUAUCCGGAUUUAUUGGGCGUAAAGCGAGCGCAGGCGGUUUUUUAAGUCUGAUGUGAAAGCCCUCGGCUUAACCGAGGAAGUGCAUCGGAAACUGGGAAACUUGAAUGCUGAAGAGGACAGUGGAACUCCAUGUGUAGCGGUGAAAUGNGUAGAUAUAUGGAAGAACCCCAGUGGNGAAGGCGGCGGUCUGGUCAGUUAUUGACGCUGAGGCUCGAAAGCAUGGGUAGCGACCAGGAUUAGAUACCCUGGUA